CAGAGAAGGAGGUGGUUUGAUCCGCUGCAGACUAACUAAAAUUAACCAGUUUUAAAACUAAACUGUUUCAGCUGGAAAUUAAUUGAGAUGAAUGCUGAUCAGAGUCUGAUGGCAGCUCUGUCUGGGAACGUGUUGGCAGUCAACAUGUUACUGAGUGUCUUCUUUCUUCCAGGUGCUUUGGCUCUUUGUGGUGAUAUAAAACCAGGCCUCACAAUCACUGCAGCGAGGAAGACUGAAGCUCUGAGUGGAUCUUGUCUGCAAAUCCCAUGUAGCUUUAAUACAGAGGAUCCCAUAUAUGACAAUGGAAAAAAGGUCAAUGGUGUGUGGUCAAAACAUAAUUCAAAUUUAGCUAUUUUCAACAGCAGUGGGUCAGUUAACACCUAUCGAUUGGAAAUUAUUGGAGACCUGAGAGAGAGAAACUGCACCACUCUGUUUCCUAAUCUAAACACUAGUUUUACAGACAAAUACUUCUUCAGAAUUGAGAACGGGGACUACAAAGCAACAGCUUGUGCUGAUAUUCUUCACAUAGCAGUUAAAGAUUCUCCUUGGAGUCCCAGCAUUAACAUCCCUGCUGAUCUGAAGGAGCAUCAGUCUGUCACUAUCAGCUGCUCAGCUUUGACUCCCUGUCCACACUCACCUCCUGAACUCACCUGGAGUCUCCAACAAGACUCUCACAGACAAACAGAGAAAAACACAGAGGGAACCUUUACAACUAAAAUCCAGGAGACCAUCACU